UCCCUCUGACUGCAUUGUGCAGCUGCUGAGCAGAGAGAAGUUGCAGGGAGGAGGGGGUUCCAGAGGAGAAGCGAAGAGACUCAGGUUUUCAUACGAUUUAUCAAAGUACAGGCAAGAUGCAGAGAUGCUUCUGAAGCUGUGACCCCAAAAAGAAGCUCAACUGGGAGAUUUGCAGCCUGGACCAGUCUAACCCUACAGGAGGCUGUUUCAACGGGCUCAGCAACUCCCUCGGUUUGACCCCUGACACAAGCAUGCCUGCUGAAUCUACACCUGGACCUAAAGACUUGUAGAGUCCUUUCUGGGGCUGGAUGUUCCCACAGGACAAUUACCAGUCAUGCAUACAGAGCUUUGCU
rnacentral:lncRNA from 1 species